UAAGACGAAGGUGGCAAGCGUUGUUCGGAAUCAUUGGGCUUAAAGAGCAUGUAGGCGGCCUGGUAAGCGUUGUGUGAAAUCCCUCGGCCCAACCGAGGAAUUGCAUAGCGAACUGCCGGGCUUGAGGCAAGUAGGGGUGUGUGGAACUCUUGGUGGAGCGGUGGAAUGCGUAGAUAUCAAGAGGAACGCCGGUGGCGAAGGCGACACACUGGGCUUGUCCUGACGCUGAGAUGCGAAAGCCAGGGGAGCAAACGGGAUUAGAUACCCCGGUAGUCCUGGCCCUAAACGAUGUCCACUGGGUCGGAGGUUCUCUGACGGAGUUCCGGCCGAAGCAAAAGUGUUAAGUGGACCGCCUGGGGAGUACGGUCGCAAGGCUA
rnacentral:rRNA from 1 species